GACGAACGCUGGCGGCGUGCUUAACACAUGCAAGUCGAACGGAAAGGCCCUGCUUUUGUGGGGUGCUCGAGUGGCGAACGGGUGAGUAACACGUGCGUAACCUGCCCUUGACUUUGGGAUAACUUCAGGUAACUUGGGCUAAUACCCGAUCGGCGCUCCUGCUGCAUGGUGGGGGUUGGAUAGUUUCGGCGGUUGGGGAUGGACUCGCGGGUUAUCAGCUUGUUUGUGGGGUAGUUGCUUACCAAGGGUUUGACGGGUAGCCGGCCUGAGAGGGUGAACGGGGACAAUGGGACUGAGAGAGGGAGCAGAGUGGAACGGGAGGCAGCAGGGGGGAAUAUUGCACAAUGGGGGGAAGCGUGAGGCAGAAACGCCGGGUGCGGGAUGACGGCCUGCGGGGUGUAAACAGCUUUCGACUGUGACGAAGCGUGAGUGACGGUAAUGGGUAAAGAAGCACCGGCUAACUACGUG
rnacentral:rRNA from 1 species